rnacentral:rRNA from 1 species
GAACGCUGGCGGCGUGCCUAAUACAUGCAAGUCGAGCGAACGGACGAGAAGCUUGCUUUUCUGAUGUUAGCGGCGGACGGGUGAGUAACACGUGGAUAACCUACCUAUAAGACUGGGAUAACUUCGGGAAACCGGAGCUAAUACCGGAUAAUAUUUUGAACCGCAUGGUUCAAAAGUGAAAGACGGACUUGCUGUCACUUAUAGAUGGAUCCGCGCUGCAUUAGCUAGUUGGUAAGGUAACGGCUUACCAAGGCAACGAUGCAUAGCCGACCUGAGAGGGUGAUCGGCCACACUGGAACUGAGACACGGUCCAGACUCCUACGGGAGGCAGCAGUAGGGAAUCUUCCGCAAUGGGCGAAAGCCUGACGGAGCAACGCCGCGUGAGUGAUGAAGGUCUUCGGAUCGUAAAACUCUGUUAUUAGGGAAGAACAUAUGUGUAAGUAACUGUGCACAUCUUGACGGUACCUAAUCAGAAAGCCACGGCUAACUACGUG